rnacentral:rRNA from 1 species
UACGUAGGGUGCGAGCGUUGUCCGGAAUUAUUGGGCGUAAAGGGCUCGUAGGCGGUCUGUUGCGUCGGGAGUGAAAACUCAGGGCUUAACCCUGAGCCUGCUUCCGAUACGGGCAGACUAGAGGUAUGCAGGGGAGAACGGAAUUCCUGGUGUAGCGGUGAAAUGCGCAGAUAUCAGGAGGAACACCGGUGGCGAAGGCGGUUCUCUGGGCAUUACCUGACGCUGAGGAGCGAAAGUGUGGGGAGCGUACAGG